rnacentral:lncRNA from 1 species
AUUAUGUUGUUAUAAAAUAGGAAAGUUUUGGAUUUACGUACAAAAGAAGUUUUGAGUUUACGUUCAAAAUUAUUUUAUUAGGAGAAUGUGGUUGAAAAUGAGUUUGGGGUGAUGAGUGUAAUUCACUCAUUAAACUAAAGCUUCCAAAUCACGUUUUUUGAUGUGUUCUUGGGCAUUUUGAACGUUUUGAUGUGUGUGUUCGUCUUAUUUUGCAGUUUGGACAACUCUCGAGAAAAUACCACUAUUGAGAGCCUAUGAUGAGCAAAAAUGAUGAUCAAUAAAAUGGAGCAUGAAUAAGCAAGUAAUGAAUAAGAUUGGAGUGGAAAAUAAGCUUGGAAAAUAAAGAGAAGAGAAGCAAAGCAUUGGCAUUGGCGCCACGGCACCGAAAAAGGGGCGCCAUGAGAGAUGAAAUUCCAGCAGAAACUUGGGCGCCACGGCGCCAGACCUGGACGCCAUGGCGCCUGUUAACAUGAGAAUCAUGGCGCCAUGGCGCCAUGCUUGGGCUCCGUGGCGCCAAAUCCCAAAACGUUAAAACCCGAAUUUUUAAUUAUCUUUUCGGCCCAAAAAUCAUACCCUAACCCUUGAAGACUCUUAGAAAAUAUAAAUACCAAGAUGAAGAACAAGAGAAGGGGGUUAGACGGCUGAAGAGGCAAGAAAAAGAGAGGCACCAAUUGAGAGAAGAUCGACCCGAUUUUGAAGAAGAAAAAGGGAGAAACUGAGAAAUCGAGCAACAAGAUUGAGAAAUAGAGCAGCAACCUGAGUUUUUUCUUAUCUUUCUCUUCUCCAUGCGAUUUAAUUUGUAUUUUAUCAUGCUUUUUUUCUCAAUCAUGAACUAAGUUAUUAAAUCUAGGGUUUGAUGUAACCUAUUUGAGAUAUG